rnacentral:rRNA from 1 species
UACGUAGGUGGCGAGCGUUUGUCCGGAAUUACUGGGCGUAAAGAGCGCGCAGGCGGCUGGUCAAGUCCGACGUGAAAUCUCCCGGCUUAACUGGGAAAUUGCAUCGGAAACUGAUCGGCUUGAAGGUGGGAGAGGGUAGCGGAAUUCCCGGUGUAGUGGUGAAAUGCGUAGAUAUCGGGAGGAACACCAGUGGCGAAGGCGGCUACCUGGCCCAUUCUUGGACGCUGAGGCGCGAAAGCUAGGGGAGCAAACGGG